ACAAAAGCAAAAGCUCUUCAAUCAAUUAAAGUUUAGAUAAAGUUAUUAUUUCCAUCUUUUGCUAACGAUGUACACGUCUUUGCUCUCCACUCAAUUAUUCAUUCAAUAAGCACCAACGUUCCAAGAGAGAAAGUAUUGCAAAGUUAGUGGAAAGAAAAGAAAAAGUGGCUGUCCAUCAAAAUUUUGCUCCCCACCUCUCCACUCCACCAACUUCUCCACCACACUCAAGUAUAGCCACUAAUUCACCUCCAUUCUACACUAACUCCACGAGAAGAGCAGGAGAACUUCACUCAUCUUCUGCAAGCAUUCAAGAAAAUCCUCAUCUGUCCAUCGUUCCAUCAAAGGCAAGAAAGCAAACUUGAAAAUCAACCAAAGAUAAAAACCCAGCAAGUGUAGAUCUUUCUAAAGUAGAUACAUGAAUAUGCUAGACACAUAUGUAAGCACACAAUCCAUCAUCUGCAUUCAUUUAACACCACAGCAGCCAACCAACAUCAAUUACAAGGUCAAGCGCGAGAGUAAGAACUACACAAGGAGUUAGAGUACCUUAGCAAAACUUUGCUAUCAGGUUGAGCUGUGAUGGGCGAUGAAGUGUUGUUGCUGAGUGGAGUUUUUGUCGAACUUAAAGUAGGCUCAGAAAGGAUACAUGUCUUCAUACAUGUAUCUCAGUUAUGCAUUCCGCUGUAAACACUGAUUAUUUAAGUUACACCUUCCGUUGCAAACUCUGAUAAUGUUUUAGCCAAGCCCUAACGAUGCCUUUUUUUUUCUUUUUAAGGAAAAUUUCACGC